AGGUACGGCAUCCGCUGCAACACCGUUCUGCCGGGUUUCAUCCGCACCCCCAUGACGGACAAGGUCCCCACCAAAGUCCUGGAUAAGUUCGCUGCGAUGGUGCCGAUGGGACGCCUGGGGGAGCCCGAAGAUGUGGCCGACGUCUGUGCCUUCCUCGCUUCGGACGAGAGCCGGUAUAUCACCGGUGCCAGUCUGGAAGUGACAGGGGGCCUCUUCAUCUGAGCCUCUGCCGCCCCCUGCUGGGGAGACCCUCACGGACACGCUUCCAGGAAGGACUCUGCCCUCCACGGACGGACCUGGUGCUUGGCCAAUGCCCGUUCCCUGCCAGGGGGCUGUAAAGGAUGAGCCCUGGACUUGUAUGGAAGGGAGGGGGGCUCUUCCGGCCCAGGCUCGACCCCCCCCCUCCCACAAUAGAGAGCUGCAAUUGCUGUUUCAGGCUGGUGGUGGCUGGGAGUUGAUUUAUAAUUCACCUGUGGAUAAACGGAGCGAUCGAUUGAGUAAAGGUGCUUUUUUAAAGACUUA